rnacentral:tRNA from 1 species
GCGCCCGUAGCUCAAUCGGAUAGAGUCCUUGGCUUCGAACCAAGUGGUUGGGGGUUCGAGUCCCUCCGGGCGUA